UGUGGCUAAGGAUUCUGAGGUUAGUAUUAGGGAUUGCAUUUGCAUCGAUAUGGCUAAGGAUUCUCUUUCAUGUGGAGCUUAUGGUAUUCAAAGUUUUCAAUGUGUAGAUGAAGAACUAGCUUGUGAGAAUGGACCUUAUUGGAUGCCAAAUACAGACAACUAAUUUUCGUAUAUUUUGUUAAUCUCCUCUCUCAUUGCAUGAUAAAAACUCUCUUGGUUUGGAAAUAAAUAUUUUAGUCACUUUAACACUUGCUUAAUUGACAAAAGUAUAUAUGUUUCAAGAAAUACAAAUGAACAUGCAUCUCUCUUACAGAAAACAUAUUUUUCACUCAUUCAUAAGAAAUAUUAAUUGCACGUAUAUAUGCGCAGGUGAAUAUGCAUCCUAAGUAUAUAAGCUCAUAGUAUUACAGAUCAAUAUUUGUUACAGAUAAUAAUACUAAAAAGGAGGAGAUAAAUGCGGCUUGUUUGGUCAUUCAACAUGGAUUUGGCAGUCUGUAGAGUGCAGAUCAAAAUGAAUUUGGCCUAGUAGCAAGAACAAGGCCCAUAUAAUAUUUUGAUCUGCACCUAAUUUUUUCUACAGAUGAUGCCAAAUUCAUGUUGAAUGACCAAACAAGCAGCAUGUGUCUCCUCCUAUUUAAUAUUACUAUCUUCAACAAAUACCGAACCGUAAUACUUAUCCGCAUAUAUGGAUGGGCUUAUAUACUCAAUUUAUAUAUUUACCUGUGCAAUUAAUAUUUCUUAUGGAGAACUGAAGAAACAUGCUUAUGUUAAGAUAUGUUUAUACAUGUUAAUUUGUAUUUCUUGAAACGUAUAUAUUUUGUCAAUUAAGUAAGUGCACAAGCGACUAAAAUGUUUAUUUUCAAACCAAAAGAGAGAUUCUAUCAUGUAAUGAGAGGAGAUUAAAAAAAUGUAUGAAAGUUUGUUGUUGUUCUUGGUGUCCAAAAAGGUUCCUUCUCAACAACUGCUUUCCUUGAAAGGCAUAGGCUUUUGGACAACAAAGAUUUGAAAGAAACUAGUUCCUCAUCUCCACAUUGAAAACAUAGAAUAACAUAAGCUCCACAUGAAAGAAAUCUCCCUAGUACUAACCUCCACAACUUGGAAGAAAAAAAUAUAUUAAGUAGCGCAUAAAUAUGACAAAAUAAUAACAGACAGAAGAAGUUGGAUAAGCAUACAUAUAAAAUUAACGUAAUCUUGAAUUUAUAUGAUCUUAUGUUUCCUAUGAAAUUCAUGAAUAACCUUAAGCAUGUAUUGGGUUUUUAGUUUUUCCAAAUCCACUUUUCUAACAUAGCCUUCGAAUUUGCAGUCUGCUAGGGCCGCACUCCAUUUUACAUAUUUUGCAUAACCCUAAAUAAAAAAGUUAAAACCAUUAACAACACAUAUUGUUUCUUAAGCUAUGUUUGGAAGAGGACUUUCAAAGUCUCAAGGAACUUUGGACUCUAUUGUUAAAAAAACAAUACUAGUGAACCACUCGUGCAGUACAAAGGGACUUUAUAACAAUACAAAGACACUAAGCCAAAAGACUUUCAACCUUAAAACGUGUCAUUUGAAAGUUAUCUCAAAUGUGUACGUAACAUAUCAUUUCAAAGUCCCUCCUAAUUUUUGUAGUGCAUUCCAAACGAAUUUUAGCCUAGGAAUCUAACUUCAAUUAUUCUACAAUCUUUAGAGCUCACCAAAGAUUGAAAGCAUGCGAUAAAACUACACUACAACUGGCCGUAAUGCGAAGAAGUUUAACAUAUUAAGGUCAGUAAAUCUGAAAAUGUGAUGAAUUUGGAGCGUUGGUAUUUCUUAUGGCAGCAAAUUCUAAAACCAGCAUCAACGCUACCAUGGUGUCCACGUUUAAUCAUCUCCCCUCAGAAUCCAGUAGCUUAACUGUGGCAAAAAACUCUUUAUUUGGUAUUUGCUCACGCAAAUAAAUUGUCUGCCUCCAUCAACUAGGGACUGUAAUAUAUGCCUGGCUGCAUAAUUGAACAAGUCCAUUUGCAUCAUGAAGAUAAUCGUCGUUGAGAGGCCUCAAGCAAUUGUAAGAGAUGUCCUCUUCGUCACCAUAAUCUAUGAACAACACUUUAAACUUGUCUUCAGCUCCUUCAAAUCAAUUCAAAAUCUGUACAAUCUUUACAUAUCAAAUCCUUUAUCGGUGUAAUUUCGUAGUAGAAGGCAAACGUAAACUUCAAGAAUUUUAAACAUCAACUUUUCUUUGAAUCAAAAAGCUGAUGUUUGUGGUUGUGACUCACACUCUUCUUUGCUUGGCGCAAAGAACCAUUUCCACCAUACAGAACAAGGGCAAUGUCACCUGACAUGCGAUUGCAAGUAGCAAGCUCGUGAGCUAGCGGAUUCAAGUUACCAAGCUUUUCCUAGUGUAAGGUUGUUCACUGUAUAUGGUUAUCCUUUUCUGCUCAUAGGACUAGCAUUUGACAGAUUUGGGAGAUGUCACUGCUCCUUAAAACCAAGGGCGAGGGCUCUUGAUACUCUCUCCUUAAAUUUGUGUAAAGAAAAGAAAUUUACGGAUCUUAAUAGAUUUGUGCAUAACUGACGUUAACGUGUUGUAACAUCUACAGUUAUUAUGAUACAUUCCUGACAAGCUACCAAGAGCUUGCAAGGGCACACAAUUGGAAGCAACCGCUCCUUGUUGCACAUUCCUAUCCUACACAGAUAUUGGAUGAAGGAGUUACACCGAUCACUCCACAUGACGUACUGGUGGACGCGCUUGUGUCCCCAGCAGGUGUGAUUCCCAUCAUCCCAGCCGCUUUGGACAGGCAUACCAAAAUGAAGCUUUGAUGACAAUACUUGAAGUCUUCCAAGAUGAGAUCCUCGUGGAGUUGAACCCUGGCUUCCCCUUGAUCUGUUAAAAGGAAAUGAUCGGAGACUGUCUGAGAUAUAGGGCUUGAUGUUGUCAAAUGAAUGGCUGCCCCUUGAGAGGUAACCGCUG